CCUACGGGAGGCAGCAGUGGGGAAUAUUGCACAAUGGGGGAAACCCUGAUGCAGCGACGCCGCGUGAGUGAAGAAGUAAUUCGGUAUGUAAAGCUCUAUCAGCAGGGAAGAAAAUGACGGUACCUGAGUAAGAAGCCCCGGCUAACUACGUGCCAGCAGCCGCGGUAAUACGUAGGGGGCAAGCGUUAUCCGGAUUUACUGGGUGUAAAGGGAGCGUAGACGGCAGUGCAAGUCUGGAGUGAAAGGCGGGGGCUCAACCCCCGGACGGCUCUGGAAACUGUACGGCUGGAGUGCAGGAGAGGUAAGUGGAAUUCCUGGUGUAGCGGUGAAAUGCGUAGAUAUUAGGAGGAACACCAGUGGCGAAGGCGGCUUACUGGACUGUAACUGACGUUGAGGCUCGAAAGCGUGGGGAGCAAACAGGAUUAGAUACCCCAGUAGUC
rnacentral:rRNA from 1 species